rnacentral:rRNA from 1 species
CCUACGGGUGGCAGCAGUGAGGAAUAUUGCUCAAUGGACGAGAGUCUGAACCAGCCAAGUCGCGUGAAGGAUGACUGCCCUAUGGGUUGUAAACUUCUUUUAUAUGGGAGUAAAAUGUUCCACGUGUGGGAUUUUGUAUGUACCAUAUGAAUACGGAUCGGCUAACUCCGUGCCAGCAACCGCGGUAAUACGGAGGUUCCGAGCGUUAUCCGGAUUUAUUGGGUGUAAAGGGAGCGUAGGUGGAUUGUUAAGUCAGUUGUGAAAGUUGGCGGCUCAACCGUAAAAUUGCAGUUGAAACUGGCAGUCUUGAGUGCAGUAGAGGUGGGCGGAAUUCGUGGUGUAGCGGUGAAAUGCGUAGAUAUCACGAAGAACUCCGAUUGCGAAGGCAGCUUACUGGACUGCAACUGACACUGAGGCUCGAAAGUGUGGGGAUCAAACAGGAUUAGAUACCCGGGUAGUC